UCGAUCCAUGAAACUAAAUUGUGGAAGUUCAGUUUGGUGGUACGGCGAGAUAAAAGAAAAGAAAAGAAUAAAAGGUCAUACACGUGUCUGAAAAAAAAAGAAAAAUUGAAAUCAAUAAAUCGUCGAAAGUAGGGUGCACAUGCCAAGCUGCCCCAAAACUUAAGAUCAGUGUGCCGAAAAGCCGAAAAAUCAGUGAUUCUCCAAAGAUAAACCCGGUUUCAAGCCCCAAAAGGGGUCUGAGCUUUGCCAGUCGAUCUCGGCUUUUCUCCAGUGUAAUUUAAUAUUGAAGAAAGUUAUCCAACGGAGGUCAAACUUCUGCCGCACAACGGAAAUUUGCGAUCAACCUUAUUUUUGACCUUGGCAGAUGACAUACAGUUGCCUCUGAAAUUCUAUGUCGUGGCCUGGAUAGGCGCAGACAUAUCCAUAUCGGAUGUCUUCAAGGAAAAUGAUUGACACACACACACACACACACACACUGAAUUCAACCGACACAUCAAUGCAUGCAGGCCUGUUGCAGCGAUGGAAAACCAAACGUAAACUACCACUAAAAGUAAGAAAAACACCGCUUUGCUUAUAAUUUGAUUUGUUCUUCUAAACUUUUCUCCUCUUUAUAUAUAAAAAAAACCCCUAGAAUUAAGUUGCUGUAACUGUAGAUAAAUAAGAUGUCAUGAAGAUUUGAGGCGAUGCUGAGGAUGGUUGUUAGUUGGAGUGGAGUUAAAAUAUGAAAAUACACUGAAGAUUGAUCACAUUAAAUUGGAGUAGAAUAACUAUACAGGGGUAUUGGGAAGGGGGAACAUAUAGACGUUUAAGGGCUAACACAAGAAAUAGGCGAGCAGAGUUAACAUGGUAGGGUGGGUAAACGCGAAGAUUACAAGACCUAACUCUGUGCGGCGAUGCAUAUGGCAGUAUUGAUUUGAUUUGUAUAACACCUAACGGCCAGGUUAGCACCCCAAUCUCUUGUAUGUGUUAGCUGGAACAACGGAAAGAUCCCCCCCAUCCGACGAGCCCUAGCCGAAAGAUCCCACACAGUGCUAACCAUAAAAUCUAUGCAAGUUGUCUAGUUUGUGGAAUGCGUCUCGAAAGCUACCACACCAGAACACCGGGACACAUUACACCAAAGCUUCCAGCAGGAAUCGUCGGUGAUCUUGGUAUGUUCCGCACAACGAAAGAAGCGUUCAUCUUUGAUUUUUAGAUCAGGCAAUCGGCAACUGUUCAACCUAAUCUUCUCUUUAAUUGACUGAUAUUCUGGUGAUUUGAACUCAGGAGAAUCAGGGUCGACCAACAUGCUAUCAAUCGCCAAGAAGGACAAGUCUUCUGAGUGGGUACGGGACAAGGCAUCGGGGACUAUGUUAUCACUCUCUUUUCGGUGUAAGAUUUUGAACUCAAAUCCCUGCAACUUCAAGGCCCAGCGAGCCAAUCGGGAGCUAAGAUCAGCCUGCGAUAUUAGCCACUUUAAGUAGACAUGAUCUGUAAUGAUAGAGAAUUCUUGGCCCUCAACGUAUGCCCUGAACUUUUUUAGGGCUAAAACCGCAGCGUAACACUCUUUUUCAGUUACAGUGUAUUGCUUCUGGCAUUUGUUAAGCUCCACCUCCAGAUGGUGCUCAAAAUUAUCGGAUAUAACUAAGAGGUCGUUAAGAUAUAUGAAUAUUUCAUUCCGUAGAUGGGCUCACGAGAUUUUUGAUCGAGAGGAAUUUGCCAAAACGCGUCCUGUAGAUCGAUGCUUGUGAUGAACUCUGCUUUCGGUAGUCUACUCAGGAUUCCGUCUAUAAGGGGCAUGGGAUAUGCAUCCUUUACCGUGACCGAGUUUUCUUUCCUACAAUCGAUACACAAUCUAACCUUGCCAGGCUUUUUAACCAGCACUACGGGCGAAGACCACGAACUAACGGAUUCUUGUAUAACCCCAAGCUUAAUCAUUCGGUCUAAUUCCUCGUACAUUAGCUUCUCCGUUGCCGGUGACACCGCAUAGUGGCGUUGUUUAAUGGGCUUUGCGUCAACUACCUCUAUCGCGUGAGUGAUUACAGAGGUCUUUCCUAGACCUUGCUUUGAGUAAGAUGGGAAGAGAGUUAUUACCUCCUGUAGUAAUACUUGCUGUGAAGGCAGAAGCGCCGUCAUUGUGGGGUCUUCUAAGGUUUCAAUACGUAAAUUUUGUGUCAUCAAGUGCAACGGUAAAAGGUCAACAGCCGUCCAAAAAUUCAUUCCUAAAUAGUGAUAACCCGUCAAGGAAGGUACAAUACAAAAACAAAGUUCCGCUACGGACUGCAUGAAUAUUUCUCGCGUUCGGACGAGGUGACGUAAGGAUUUCACAGUCGCAGCCGACUCAUGCAAUAUUUCAUGCUAUAUCAGCCAAAAGGUUUUGCACUGCUCGCAGUGUGUCAACCAAGGCUGCCUCAGACAUGGGGUCAGACAGUUUAUCUGCCAAUGCGGCAAUUACGCCAUAAAAAUUAUAUUCCUAUCUGUUCUAUCGUCUUUAAAUUGGCCACGCAAGGCUAGGCAUAGAUCUUCCAAACGGACUUCAGGGACACUGUCAUGAUACCGCCAAAACCACUCGCUGGCGCUUCCAUCAAAGAGGUUACUAGCGUAUCGAGCUGUCAUUUCAAAGUUACCGUCCAAAGUUUGCUUUGUAAGUGCUUCAAUACGGUAAAUGAAGUCCUCAAUCGACAUACCAGCCUUACCCGUAAACCGCAGUUUCCAAUUAGACAUUAUCUGGCUAACACGAUCUGCCCGAAGGGAUGAAGCGGAGGAACCUGUGGAAACUCCUGAGCCAACUUUACGGGUUUGCCCCAAAUUCGACGGUGACGUACUAUUUCCCGAUUGAUUAAUCCCCGGCACUGGUACCUGUUCACUAGGGACAGCCGAAAAAGUUUCUCGAUCGUUUGUUGUUCCAGUUCUGCUACAGGUUGCAUCCGAGCUGCAUUUAUGUUCGGGGAGGGUACAGAAGCUGUACUUUGAAGUCCAUCGGAAAUGGCUCGAACUAGCCGGUUAGUUUGAUCAGCCAUGCUGGUCGCCAGAAUUCGGGUUUGCUCUACCAUAGCUACUCUAAUCGCGUCAACUACUGACUGCUGUAUAGUUUCCGCCAUAGUGGCCUGACUCUGUUGAGGGUCGACGGAGAUUGGAGACCUGUUGGCAUUCUCUGAGUUAGCCAUCUCAAGAGGGCUUAACGCUUCAACUCUUUUGCUUUGACUUCUAGUCUGAAGAGACUAAGUAACAGAUGGCAUUCGUGCUUUAGACGUAGACGGACCAAUGGGACUAAGAUUCUCAGCUGAGGCCGAUGUGAUGUUCAGGUCUUGCUGACAAGUGGGACACGUCCUUUUGUUACCACUUUUAGCGGUGAAGCACACUCUGUGAAAGGUGUGCCCACAACUGGCCGACAAUAGUUGUACCUGGUAAACGAUUACUUCGGAGCAAAUUUGGCAAUGUUUCCCCGUGUCUUCUAAGAGGGCUAAAUUCUCCGUACUACGAGACACCACCAUUUCGGUUUGGGCACCACAAAGUAUUAAUAUAUUAGAUAUAUAUAUAUAGAAAAAUGCAACAAAAAUGAAAAAAAAAUAAUACAAAAAAAGUCAAUAGGUAUAGAUAUCAGGGACCGUAAAUACUCAUUAUUUUUUUUUUUAUAAAAAAAUCUCUUAUUUUUAAUGGACCUAGAAAAACACUAUUUACACCAAAAUCUUUAUUUUUGUACAAUCUCUACAUUGCCGCCAUGACUUGUAAACUUCUGUUUUUUACGAUUUUCUUCACAGAUAAUCAAUA